AGAUCAGCCCUGGGGUUCAGAGGGAUCCUGACGGCUACUCCUCAAGAUCCUCUCUGUUGUGAUUCAUCCCCCCCAGGCCCUACAGUUUCUCCUUCCUGACUCUUACAUUUCUUUGGAUGGCAUCACUAUUCAAUUCUCCUGCCUCAGCCUCCCAAGUAGCUGGGAUUGCAGUACCUGUCUCCUCCCAUAGUUAGUUGCCAAGCACUGUGGAUUCUACCCCUCAGGGUCCAGACACCCAUUUUCCUUCCCACUGUUCCCUCCCCAUGGAGAAGCCUGUGGCUGACUGACAGCUCAACUUGGAGAAGGUGUUACCUGGGCCAGGUGGGGAAGGUAGGGUUGUUUGCAGAGCAAAGAAGUGAAGCCUAUUCAAUGUGAAAAAGAUGAGGGCGAAGACCUUUAUGAUGAUCCAAGUAAUGAACACACUGGAGAAAGUCAAACAGUCAAAACAAUGUCCCAGACUCCGUGAAGUUCCUGGGUAGAGAAGUAGACAGACGUACACCAUACCUAAUAAUUGGAGGUCCAAGAGAAUGAGAGAAUGGCAGAAAGAACUUUAGAGCAUGGGUAUGAUGGCUAGAGCUUGAGCAGCCAUUGUGGACAUCAGAUGAACCUGAAAGUGAAAACUAUGAGCUGAAUAUGACAAAGCAAAUAGAAAACUGGAUUCAUGAUGACACUGCAAAGCUGCCAGACCAGCUCUAGUCUG
rnacentral:antisense_RNA from 1 species